GUGCUCACUUCAGCAGCACAUAUACUAAAAUAGGAACAAUAUAGAGAUUAGCUUGGCCGCUGCACAAGGAUGACACGAAAAUUCAUGAAACAUUUCCAUAUUUA
rnacentral:snRNA from 1 species